CCUACGGGAGGCAGCAGUGGGGAAUUUUACGCAAUGGGCGAAAGCCUGACGUAGCGACACCGCGUGAGCGAAGAAGCCUUUUGGGGUGUAAAGCUCUGUCAGCAGGGACGAAAAAAAUGACGGUACCUGCAGAGGAAGCAUCGGCUAACUACGUGCCAGCAGCCGCGGUAAGACGUAGGAUGCAAGCGUUGUCCGGAUUUAUUGGGCGUAAAGAGUUCGUAGGUGGUUCGUUAAGUCUGAUGUUAAAGAUCGGGGCUCAACCUCGGGAGUGCAUUGGAUACUGGCGGACUUGAGUGCAGUAGAGGCAAGCGGAAUUCCCAGUGUAGCGGUGAAAUGCGUAGAUAUUGGGAAGAACACCGGUGGCGCAAGCGGCUUGCUGGGCUGUAACUGACACUGAGGAACGAAAGCUAGGGGAGCGAAUGGGAUUAGAUACCCCUGUA
rnacentral:rRNA from 1 species